rnacentral:lncRNA from 1 species
UAAAUACCAAUGGGGUGCUAGAUGUCAUCCACAAAUCACAGCCUAGGGAGGACCUCAUCUGUGAAUCCUCUAUUGUGCUUUCAUAAAAGGUUGGUUAAUGAACAGUAACAGAGAAGGUUUUCUUCUGGACACAGAGCAUCAAGAGGACUGUAGUGGAUGGCUGCUGGAAAAUUUCUGAGAGAGCUGCUCUAAGUGUACAGUUACGAGUGAUCUCUUCACCUCCAUGCAAAAGGCUGGAUUAGCAGGAUUCUACAAGGCCACAGACAUAGAGGCAGAGAAAGAGAGUUGGCAUCUUCAAGACAGAGACACCUUUUUGUUCAUCUGUUGUGGAUGCAGGCGAACCCAGUGGGAAGAAGUGACGAUGUCUGACUCAGUUCAGAAGGCUGAAUAAUUUCUUUAUUAUAAUUAUGGUAAAAUACAUUAAUAUACGAUAUAAAAGUAGGAUACUAAAAACUACAUACU